GACGAACGCUGGCGGCGUGCCUAAUACAUGCAAGUAGAACGCUGGAGGAGGAGCUUGCUUCUCUGGAUGAGUUGCGAACGGGUGAGUAACGCGUAGGUAACCUGCCUGGUAGCGGGGGAUAACUAUUGGAAACGAUAGCUAAUACCGCAUAAUAGCAGUUGUUGCAUGACAACUGUUUGAAAGGUGCAAAUGCAUCACUACCAGAUGGACCUGCGUUGUAUUAGCUAGUUGGUGGGGUAAAGGCUCACCAAGGCGACGAUACAUAGCCGACCUGAGAGGGUGAUCGGCCACACUGGGACUGAGACACGGCCCAGACUCCUACGGGAGGCAGCAGUAGGGAAUCUUCGGCAAUGGACGGAAGUCUGACCGAGCAACGCCGCGUGAGUGAAGAAGGUUUUCGGAUCGUAAAGCUCUGUUGUAAGAGAAGAACGAGUGUGAGAGUGGAAAGUUCACACUGUGACGGUAUCUUACCAGAAAGGGACGGCUAACUACGUG
rnacentral:rRNA from 1 species